rnacentral:rRNA from 1 species
AUUGAACGCUGGCGGCAGGCUUAACACAUGCAAGUCGAACGAGUGGCGGACGGGUGAGUAAUGCUUGGGAAUCUCGCUUAUGGAGGGGGAUAACUACGGGAAACUGUAGCUAAUACCGCUUACCAUAGGAUGAGCCCAGGUGGGCUUAGGUAGUUGGUGGGGUAAAGGGUCACCAAGCCGGCGAUCUCUAGCUGGUCUGAGAGGAUGACCAGCCACACUGGAGCUGAGACGCGGCCCAGACUCCUACGGGACGCAGCAGUGGGGAAUAGUGCGCAAUGGGGGCAAGCCUGAUGCAGCCAUGCCGCGUGUAUGAAGAAGGCCUUCGGGUUGUAAAGUACUUUCAGUCGGGAGGCGUUACCGGCAGAAGAAGCACCGGCUAACUCCGUGCCAGCCGCCGCGGUAAUAC